rnacentral:tRNA from 1 species
GUCAGGAUGGCCGAGCGGUCUAAGGCGCCAGACUCAAGGCGUAAUAUACCUUGCCUACAUGUAUGUAGGUUGUGUGAGCGUUCUGGUCCUCUCUGAGGGCGUGGGUUCGAAUCCCACUUCUGACA